GAUCUCCUCUCUCUCCCUCCCUCCUCGUCCUAUAUUCUUGUCCUCUCUCUUUCAUUCCUAGUCCUAUAUUCUUGUUCUCUCUCCCUCCCUCCCUACUCAUCCUAUAAUCUUGUUCUCCCUCCUCGCUCUUUCAUUCCUCAUCCUAUAUUCUUGUUCUCUCUUUCAUUCCUCAUCCUAUAUUCUUGUUCUCUCUCUUUCAUUUCUCAUCCUAUAUUCUUGUUCUCUCUCUUUCAUUCCUCAUCCUAUAUUCUUGUUCUCUCUCUUUCAUUCCUCAUCCUAUAUUCUUGUUCUCCCUCCUCGCUCUUUCAUUUCUCAUCCUAUAUUCUUGUUCUCUUUCAUUUCUCAUCCUAUAUUCUUGUUCUCUCUUUCAUUCCUCAUCCUAUAUUCUUGUUCUCUCUUUCAUUCCUCAUCCUAUAUUCUUGUUCUCUCUCUUUCAUUUCUCAUCCUAUAUUCUUGUUCUCUCUCUUUUAUUUCUCAUCCUAUAUUCUUGUUCUCCCUCCUCUCUCUUUCAUUCCUCAUCCUAUAUUCUUGUUCUCCCUCCUCUCUCUUUCAUUCCUCAUCCUAUAUUCUUGUUCUCUCUCUUUUAUUUCUCAUCCUAUAUUCUUGUUCUCCCUCCUCUCUCUUUCAUUCCUCAUCCUAUAUUCUUGUUCUCUCUUUCAUUCCUCAUCCUAUAUUCUUGUUCUCUCUUUUAUUCCUCAUCCUAUAUUCUUGUUCUCUCUCUUUCAUUCCUCAUCCUAUAUUCUUGUUCUCUCUCUUUCAUUCCUCAUCCUAUAUUCUUGUUCUCUCUUUCAUUCCUCAUCCUAUAUUCUUGUUCUCUCUCUUUCAUUCCUCAUCCUAUAUUCUUGUUCUCUCUCUUUCAUUUCUCAUCCUAUAUUCUUGUUCUCUUUUUUAUUCCUCAUCCUAUAUUCUUGUUCUCUCUCUUUCAUUCCUCAUCCUAUAUUCUUGUUCUCUCUUUCAUUCCUCAUCCUAUAUUCUUGUUCUCUCUCUUUCAUUCCUCAUCCUAUAUUCUUGUUCUCUCUCUUUCAUUUCUCAUCCUAUAUUCUUGUUCUCUCUCUUUCAUUUCUCAUCCUAUAUUCUUGUUCUCUUUCAUUUCUCAUCCUAUAUUCUUGUUCUCUCUCUUUCAUUUCUCAUCCUAUAUUCUUGUUCUCUCUUUUAUUUCUCAUCCUAUAUUCUUGUUCUCUCUCUUUCAUUCCUCAUCCUAUAUUCUUGUUCUCCCUCCUCUCUCUUUCAUUCCUCUUCCUAUAUUCUUGUUCUCUCCUAUAUUCUUGUUCUCCCUCUCUCACUUUCAUUCCUCUUCCUAUAUUCUUGUUCUCCCUCCUCUCUCUCUUUCAUUCCUCUUCCUAUAUUCUUGUUCUCCCUCCUCUCUCUUUCAUUCCUCAUCCUAUAUUCUUGUUCUCUCCUAUAUUCUUGUUCUCCCUCCUCUCUCACUUUCAUUCCUCUUCCUAUAUUCUUGUUCUCCCUCCUCUCUCUCUCAUUCCUCGUCCUAUUUUCCUGGUCUCUCUCUCUCUCUCUCAUUCCUCGUCCUAUUCUCCUGGUCUCCCUCCUCUCUCUCUCAUUCCUCGUCCCAUUCUCCUGGUCUCCCUCCUCUCUCUCUCAUUCCUCGUCCUAUUCUCCUGGUCUCCCUCCUCUCUCUCUCAUUCCUCGUCCUAUUCUCCUGGUCUCCAUCCUCUCUCUCUCAUUCCUCGUCCUAUUUUCCUGGUCUCUCUCUCUCUCUCAUUCCUCGUCCUAUUCUCCUGGUCUCCCUCCUCUCUCUCUCAUUCCUCGUCCUAUUCUCCUGGUCUCCCUCCUCUCUCUCUCAUUCCUCGUCCUAUUCUCCUGGUCUCCCUCUCUCUCAUUCCUCGUCCUAUUCUCCUGGUCUCCCUCUCUCUCAUUCCUCGUCCUAUUCUCCUGGUCUCUCUCUCUCUCAUUCCUCGUCCUAUUUUCCUGGUCUCUCUCUCUCUCUCAUUCCUCGUCCUAUUUUCCUGGUCUCCCUCCUCUCUCUCUCAUUCCUCGUCCUAUUCACCUGGUCUCCCUCCUCUCUCUCUCAUUCCUCGUCCUAUUCUCCUGGUCUCCCUCUCUCUCAUUCCUCGUCCUAUUCUCCUGGUCUCCCUCUCUCUCAUUCCUCGUCCUAUUCUCCUGGUCUCUCUCUCUCUCAUUCCUCGUCCUAUUCUCCUGGUCUCUCUCUCCUUAAGUCUGUCAUGACAGUGUUUCUAUUUUCCUCUCUAAAAAAAGUGA
rnacentral:lncRNA from 1 species